UACAGAGGUCCCAAGCGUUGUUCGGAAUCAUUGGGCGUAAAGCGCGUGUAGGCGGCUUGGCAAGUCAGUUGUGAAAGCCCGGGGCCCAACCCCGGAACUGCAUCUGAAACUGCCUGGCUAGAGUCCCGGAGAGGAAGGCAGAAUUCACGGUGUAGGGGUGAAAUCCGUAGAUAUCGGGAGGAAUACCAGCGGCGAAGGCGGCCUUCUGGACGGUGACUGACGCUGAGACGCGAAAGCGUGGGGAGCAAACAGG
rnacentral:rRNA from 1 species